rnacentral:rRNA from 1 species
UACGAAGGGAGCUAGCGUUGUUCGGAAUUACUGGGCGUAAAGGGCGCGUAGGCGGUAUCAUAAGUCAGAUGUGAAAGCCCUGGGCUUAACCUAGGAGGUGCAUUUGAUACUGUGAAACUAGAGAUCGAGAGAGGAAAGUGGAAUUACGAGUGGAGAGGUGAAAUUCGUAGAUAUUCGUAAGGACACCAGUGGCGAAGGCGACUUUCUGGCUCGAUACUGACGCUAAGGCGCGAAAGCGUGGGGAGCAAACAGG